AUUUAAAUAGUUUAUCUAAAAUUUAAUAUUGAAGAUAUUAAGAUAAUUUUUAUUAAUUUUUAAAUA
rnacentral:tRNA from 1 species